CAACCCUCAGGACUCUUCGGAGAACUGGCGUUGGGGAUCAGCGUAGGCGCAGGUUUUACCUGCCAGCUGGCCCUGAAAUACAGUGGCGGUCUUGCUCUGACUCCCUUGCGUAGUAACUUACCUCGCCUGUGGAAGAUUGGCCUGAUCACGCCGUAAAACCCCUACUUUUUAAGG
rnacentral:misc_RNA from 1 species